UGGUGACAGGUAUAUUUCUUAAUGCAG
rnacentral:piRNA from 1 species